rnacentral:rRNA from 1 species
GACGAACGCUGGCGGCGUGCUUAACACAUGCAAGUCGAACGGAAAGGCCCUGCUUUUGUGGGGUGCUCGAGUGGCGAACGGGUGAGUAACACGUGAGUAACCUGCCCUUGACUUUGGGAUAACUUCAGGAAACUGGGGCUAAUACCGGAUAGGAGCUCCUGCUGCAUGGUGGGGGUUGGAAAGUUUCGGCGGUUGGGGAUGGACUCGCGGCUUAUCAGCUUGUUGGUGGGGUAGUGGCUUACCAAGGCUUUGACGGGUAGCCGGCCUGGGAGGGUGACCGGCCACAUUGGGACUGAGAUACGGCCCAGACUCCUACGGGAGGCAGCAGUGGGGAAUAUUGCGCAAUGGGCGGAAGCCUGAUGCAGCAACGCCGCGUGCGGGAUGACGGCCUUCGGGUUGUAAACCGCUUUCGCCUGUGACGAAGCGUGAGUGACGGUAAUGGGUAAAGAAGCACCGGCUAACUACGUG